AACGAACGCUGGCGGCGUGGAUAAGACAUGCAAGUCGAACGGGAUUCUCCGUUGUAGCAAUACGAUGGAAAAUUUAGUGGCGAACGGGUGCUUAACUCGUGGGCAACCUGCCAGGAAGUGGGGGAUAGCUCGCCGAAAGGCGAAUUAAUACCGCAUGUGAUUAGAGAGGACAUCCUUUCGAAAUUAAAGUCGGGGCAACCUGACGCUUCUUGUGGGGCCCGCGGCCUAUCAGCUAGUUGGUGAGGUAACGGCUCACCAAGGCUUUGACGGGUAGCUGGUCUGAGAGGACGACCAGCCACACUGGGACUGAGACACGGCCCAGACACCUACGGGUGGCAGCAGUCGAGAAUUUUUGACAAUGGGGGAAACCCUGAUCGAGCGACGCCGCGUGGAGGAUGAAGGUCUUCGGAUUGUAAACUCCUGUCAUUGGGGAACAAGGUGCAUACGUUAACUGCGUGUGUAUUGAUAGUACCCGAAGAGGAAGAGACGGCUAACUCUGUGCCAGCAGCCGCAGUAAUAC
rnacentral:rRNA from 1 species